UUUUUUCUUGAUAAGCAAAAGUUGUAUUAAUAAGUAGUACAAGGAGUACUCAAAAUCUUACAAUACAACAUAAGGGCCCUUAGAGUUUUUAAAGACACUCUAAAGGUUGUGUGAGCCAAUCUGUAAACACAAAGUCACUAUAUCUACCCGAGCGACCUAUAAACCAAAGCCAAGAAAUGAAUUUGAUUUGGUCAAUUAACUGAUCAACAUUAGGUACUACUUCCCCCCUAAA
rnacentral:lncRNA from 1 species